GACGAACGCUGGCGGCGUGCUUAACACAUGCAAGUCGAACGGUAAGGCCCCUUCGGGGGUACACGAGUGGCGAACGGGUGAGUAACACGUGAGCAACCUGCCCUUGACUCUGGGAUAACAGUUGGAAACAGCUGCUAAUACCGGAUACGACCUUCGAUGACAUCAUCUGGAGGUGGAAAGCGCUUUAGCGGUCAAGGAUGGGCUCGCGGCCUAUCAGCUUGUUGGUGAGGUAACGGCUCACCAAGGCUUCGACGGGUAGCCGGCCGGAGAGGGCGACCGGCCACACUGGGACUGAGAUACGGCCCAGACUCCUACGGGAGGCAGCAGUGGGGAAUAUUGCACAAUGGGCGCAAGCCUGAUGCAGCAACGCCGCGUGCGGGAUGACGGCCUUCGGGUUGUAAACCGCUUUCAGUUCCGACGAAGCGCAAGUGACGGUAGGAACAGAAGAAGGACCGGCCAACUACGUGCCAGCAGCCGCCGCCG
rnacentral:rRNA from 1 species